UACGUAGGGCGCAAGCGUUGUCCGGAAUUAUUGGGCGUAAAGAGCUCGUAGGCGGUCUGUUACGUCCGCUGUGAAAACCCAGGGCUUAACCCUGGGCUUGCAGUGGAUACGGGCAGACUAGAGGCAGGUAGGGGAGAAUGGAAUUCCCGGUGUAGCGGUGAAAUGCGCAGAUAUCGGGAGGAACACCGGUGGAGAAGGCGGUUCUCUGGGCCUGACCUGACGCUGAGGAGCGAAAGCGUGGGGAGCGAACAGG
rnacentral:rRNA from 1 species